GGUAGUCCACGCCGUAAACGAUGUCGACUUGGAGGUUGUGCCCUUGAGGCGUGGCUUCCGGAGCUAACGCGUUAAGUCGACCGCCUGGGGAGUACGGCCGCAAGGUUAAAACUCAAAUGAAUUGACGGGGGCCCGCACAAGCGGUGGAGCAUGUGGUUUAAUUCGAUGCAACGCGAAGAACCUUACCUACUCUUGACAUCCAGAGAACUUAGCAGAGAUGCUUUGGUGCCUUCGGGAACUCUGAGACAGGUGCUGCAUGGCUGUCGUCAGCUCGUGUUGUGAAAUGUUGGGUUAAGUCCCGCAACGAGCGCAACCCUUAUCCUUUGUUGCCAGCGGUUAGGCCGGGAACUCAAAGGAGACUGCCAGUGAUAAACUGGAGGAAGGUGGGGAUGACGUCAAGUCAUCAUGGCCCUUACGAGUAGGGCUGCACACGUGCUACAAUGGCGCAUACAAAGAGAAGCGACCUCGCGAGAGCAAGCGGACCUCAUAAAGUGCGUCGUAGUCCGGAUUGGAGUCUGCAACUCGACUCCAUGAAGUCGGAAUCGCUAGUAAUCGUAGAUCAGAAUGCUACAGUGAAUACGUUCCCGGGCCUUGUACACACCGCCCGUCACACCAUGGGAGUGGGUUGCAAAAGAAGUAGGUAGCUUAACCUUCGGGAGGGCGCUUACCACUUUGUGAUUCAUGACUGGGGUGAAGUCGUAACAAGGUAACCGUAGGGGGAACCUGC
rnacentral:rRNA from 1 species